UCCGAUAUGGUGUAGUGGCUAACAUAUGACGCUCUCACCGUCAUGCCCGGGGUUCGAUUCCCCGUGUCGGAG
rnacentral:tRNA from 1 species